GUCAGUACGCUGUAUAGCCUGCCAGAGGUUUGAGAGGGUAAAGACUGUAGUGCCGGAGUUGAAGCCCAUCAAAGGUGUUUCACCAUGGCUCAUGAUCGGGGUGGAUCUCAUCGGACCCUUCACGAAAUCCAGUAAUGGCAACAGCUGCUGUCUGACGGCGACCGAUCACUUUACCAAGUGGGUGGAGGCAAUACCCAGUAAGGAAGAAACUGGCGAGGCCACAUCCAAGGCAAUGAUGGACAUCUUCAACACCUGAGGUCCUCUUGAGUGACUGAACGCUGGAUCAAGGU